rnacentral:snRNA from 1 species
AGCUUUGCGCAGUGGCAGUAUCGUAGCCAAUGAGGUUUAUCCGAGGCGCGAUUAUUGCUAAUUGAAAACUGUCCAAACAUAAGCAACCACUGGGGAAGGAAACAUUUUCCAUUUGAUCUGAAGUCUUUUCCGUUCAGUAGCCUUUAAGAUUUAUCUAGAGGAUUCUCAAGGAC